UACGUAGGGUGCAAGCGUUAAUCGGAAUUACUGGGCGUAAAGCGUGCGCAGGCGGUUGUGCAAGACAGAUGUGAAAUCCCCGGGCUCAACCUGGGAACUGCAUUUGUGACUGCAUGGCUGGAGUGCGGCAGAGGGGGAUGGAAUUCCGCGUGUAGCAGUGAAAUGCGUAGAUAUGCGGAGGAACACCGAUGGCGAAGGCAAUCCCCUGGGCCUGCACUGACGCUCAUGCACGAAAGCGUGGGGAGCAAACAGG
rnacentral:rRNA from 1 species